rnacentral:rRNA from 1 species
CUGCUGCCUUCCGUAGGAGUCUGGUCCGUGUCUCAGUACCAGUGUGGGGGACCUUCCUCUCAGAACCCCUACGCAUCGUCGCCACGGUGGGCCGUCACCCCGCCGUCUAGCUAAUGCGCCGCAUGCCCAUCCGCCACCGGAUCGCUCCUUUGGCCACCGGAGGAUGCCCUCCGGUGGCGUCACGGGGUAUUAGGCCGCGUUUCCGCGGGUUAUCCCCCUGUGGCGGCCAGGUUGCAUACGUGUUACUCACCCGUGCGCCGGUCGCCGGCGGG